UACAGGGGGGGCAAGCGUUGUUCGGAAUUACUGGGCGUAAAGGGCUCGUAGGCGGCCAACUAAGUCCGACGUGAAAUCCCAAAGCUUAACUUUGGAACUGCGUCGGAUACUGGAUGGCUUGAAUUCGGGAGAGGGAUGCAGAAUUCCAGGUGUAGCGGUGAAAUGCGUAGAUAUCUGGAGGAAUACCGGUGGCGAAGGCGGCAUCCUGGACCGACAUCGACGCUGAGGAGCGAAAGCUAGGGGAGCGAACAGG
rnacentral:rRNA from 1 species